rnacentral:lncRNA from 1 species
UCGUAUCCAUAUACAAUCAAAUAUUUUUGUUAUUUUUUGUGCUUUUGCUUACCUCUCCCAUAAUAUGGUCGCGGCAUAUAUAACAUUCGAUACUAUAUUUGAUUAACACGGAUGUACAGUGUCGCUCCGGUCCAAAAUUAUAUACACAAGAAAAAAUGAAAAUAAAAAUAAAAAUGGGAAACCCUAAUGUUUUUUUACUAAAAGCACACCUCAAUCAUCAAUAUUAUAUAGAGAGAAUUAUGCAUCAUCCCUUU